UACGAAGGGGGCUAGCGUUGCUCGGAAUCACUGGGCGUAAAGGGCGCGUAGGUGGUGGCUUAAGCGUGCGGUGAAAGCUCGGGGCUCAACUCCGAGUCGGCCGUGCGAACUGGGCUCACUGGAGCAUAGUAGAGGCAGGUGGAAUUCCGGGUGUAGCGGUGGAAUGCGUAGAUAUCGGGAGGAACACCAGUGGCGAAGGCGGUUGCCUGGAGCUUUGCUGACGCUGAGGCGCGAAAGCGUGGGGAGCGAUCCGG
rnacentral:rRNA from 1 species